GUUCCCGGCCCGCGGACGCUUAGAGAGGGGAGCUUCGGAGUUAUGGGGGGACCCACCCUUCCAUUUAAUAACUGAGAAAGCCACGGGAGGGGACUUGCUGGGCUCACAGCCAGUGAUCCCUGCCCUGUUUCCUUAUGGGGACUGCGGUCAGAAAUGGGGAGUGGGGCAGAAACUGUCACUGUCACGGUCCUGUUUAGAGAGGAAGGUCGGAGAAACCAGUGCCGUGGAAGGCUCUGGGGCGUUGACAGGCGCUGUCCCCAGCUCACCGGCUCUAUGACCCUGGAAGAAUGGAAACUUCGUCAGAGCAGGGACGUGAGGGUGAACUGCUCACCCGGGCACCGCUGGCGACCGGAACCCAGCUCCCUCCGGGCUCCGGGAGAGGCGGCCUCAGCUGUGUGCUGGUGCUGCCCUCCAGCGGCGCUGGGUCCCCAUGGCACCUGGCUUUCUCCUGCUCCCCAGGGGCCUUUUCUUCUCCCGCCCACCUGUCACCAGCCGCCAGGGCAAGUCUCUGUGUGACUCUAGGGUGAAGGUGGAGGGACCUUGCCUCCGAGGAUUCAUCCCACCCGGAUUCCGAUGAGUGAGGGACCCUCUCUGGCACCUGGUGUUUGAAUGGCCAGCCUCACAGUUAAUAAAGACAAGUUUGGUAUCAAAAAAAAAAAAAAAAA
rnacentral:lncRNA from 1 species